rnacentral:rRNA from 1 species
GUAGGGAAUAUUGGGGAAUGGGCGCAAGCCCGACCCAGCAACGCCGCGUGUGCGAAGAAGGCCUUCGGGUUGUAAAGCACUUUUUAGCGGGAAGAGGAAGGACGGUACCGCUAGAAUCAGUCUCGGCUAACUACGUGCCAGCAGCCGCGGUAACACGUAGGAGACGAGCGUUAUCCGGAUUUACUGGGUGUAAAGCGCGUGUAGGCGGUCGAGUAAGUUGGAUGUGAAAGCUCCCGGCUCAACUGGGAGAGGUCGUUCAAUACUGCUUGGCUAGAGGACAGCAGAGGGGAGUGGAAUUCCGAGUGUAGCGGUAAAAUGCAUAGAUAUUCGGAAGAACACCAGUGGCGAAGGCGGCUCUCUGGGCUGGUCCUGACGCUCAGACGCGAAAGCUAGGGUAGCAAACGGGAUUAGAAACCCCAGUAGUCC